rnacentral:rRNA from 1 species
AGUGAACGCUGGCGGUAGGCCUAACACAUGCCAGUCGAACGGCAGCACAGUAAGAGCUUGCUCUUACGGGUGGCGAGUGGCGGACGGGUGAGGAAUACAUCGGAAUCUACUUUUUCGUGGGGGAUAACGUAGGGAAACUUACGCUAAUACCGCAUACGACCUACGGGUGAAAGCAGGGGAUCUUCGGACCUUGCGCGAUUGAAUGAGCCGAUGUCGGAUUAACUAGUUGGCGGGGUAAAGGCCCACCAAGGCGACGAUCCGUAGCUGGUCUGAGAGGAUGAUCAGCCACACUGGAACUGAGACACGGUCCAGACUCCUACGGGAGGCAGCAGUGGGGAAUAUUGGACAAUGGGCGCAAGCCUGAUCCAGCCAUACCGCGUGGGUGAAGAAGGCCUUCGGGUUGUAAAGCCCUUUUGUUGGGAAAGAAAAGCAGCAGGUUAAUACCCCGCUGUUCUGACGGUACCCAAAGAAUAAGCACCGGCUAACUUCGUG